GAAGAAUGCCGAUCCGGUCAGCC
rnacentral:miRNA from 1 species